UUUUAAACAGAAGUUUACUUUAUAUGAAAACAGAGAUGUUCUCCUCUGGCAUAGCAGAAAGCAAGUUGCUUUGGAAAAAUAUGAAAGCAUAGAGCACUUCACAAAUCCAUAUUUUUUUCUGCCACCGUUCAAGAUAUUUUGCGAUGAGUUUCGUGCUUAAAUGGCAGAAAGAAUGAAGAGAGUGGGGACUGUUUUGGUUGCCGCUGUUCACGUUUGCCUGUUAAUCUAAUUACCAAGGGAUUUGGACAAGAAAAGGUUUAAAUUCAUUUGAAAGAAGAGUGUGUGAGAAGUCAGAGCAGCUAAAGCCCCCUCUGGGGCUCCCAGAGCUGUUUUCUGGAGUGAGCAUGGUUGGAGCUGAAGGAAGGCCUGCUCUGUGCAAGAAGUUUAACUCUUCCUGGGAUGAAGCAACUCCUUCUGAGGCCCUUUCUCGGGACACAAAACAAACACAUUCCCUCCUACAUACGUGGAUUCUGACCAGUUGAGCAUUUGUGAGAAGCCAUUAGGACUGAAGGCCAAAAUGAUCGUGGUGCUCGCU
ensembl:lncRNA